UGUGGGGAAUAUGGAGCCAAGCCUUCUGCGUGGGAACAAAUCAGUGCCAGUCGCUUCAUGGAUGAGACAAAGACCAGAGAUAAAGAAGCCCAAAGCCACCUGUGUCCUCGUGAUUCUCUGGGAGAGGAACACACCAAGGGCUGCCUGUAUUCCAUGCAUCCCUGGUCAGGCCUGCAAGAAGGAAAUCAUAGCUGCUACAACACAGCAAAGGGAAGGUGGUUUUUUUGACAGUAAGUACUUCUUUACUCUUAUUUUGCCUAUAUCUAAUGAUGCUAUUUUGGUGUGCAGUGAAGCUUAA
ensembl:lncRNA